UAUCUUCACAAACUCGCCUUAAUAAAAGGUCAAAGUGUAACUUGUUCAGAGUACUUUCUGAAGCUGUCGAGCAUCAUCGCCAGUGGAUGGCUCCACAGAGUGAAGUCAGCUGUCACUUAACCAUCUGGCCCAAGCGAUGUGAUCAUUUUUAAAGGCCAACAAAACCAUAUUUGAACUCUCAGUUCAGCAGAGCCCAGUUCCAAGUCUCUGGCAUCCGAGGCGUGACCCAUACUAAAGCAGCUCACCUUUUGCUUAGGUAGCAAAGCAUAAGUCGAUUCAGAGAAAUCUGAGUAUGGGUGUUGAGCUUUAUGUGACUCUGUAGUUCCUCUUUAUUUUCAAUAGAGAAUUGCUUUUCCUAAAUAAAUUGAUAAUUAUGUA
rnacentral:lncRNA from 1 species